AACACAUGCAAGUCGAACGCUGACUUUGUGCUUGCACAAAUGAUUAGUGGCGAACGGGUGAGUAACACGUGAGUAACCUGCCCCUGACUUCGGGAUAAGCCUGGGAAACCGGGUCUAAUACCGGAUACGACCGUUGGCCGCAUGGCCCGAUGGUGGAAAGCUUAAUUGCGGUUUUGGAUGGACUCGCGGCCUAUCAGCUUGUUGGUGAUGUAACGGCUCACCAAGGCGACGACGGGUAGCCGGCCUGAGAGGGUGACCGGCCACACUGGGACUGAGACACGGCCCAGACUCCUACGGGAGGCAGCAGUGGGGAAUAUUGCACAAUGGGCGCAAGCCUGAUGCAGCGACGCCGCGUGAGGGAUGACUGCCUUCGGGUUGUAAACCUCUUUCAGUAGGGAAGAAGCGAAAGUGACGGUACCUGCAGAAGAAGCGCCGGCU
rnacentral:rRNA from 1 species